GCAGAAACACACCACUCCAGCUGUGACAGAGUCCCUUGACCCCGACAUCCUGUGGGAGCAGACCACCCCUUCUCUAACUCCAGAUACAAGACCAGACCUAACUCCAGGUACAGACACAGACCUAACUCCAGAUCAGGAGGAAGUCAGCAGUCUGUCAACAGAAAGUGAACAAAGCACCACUUUCUCCAAUAAGAUUCAAGCGGUGAGUCUCUAAGAUGAGGAAGAAAAAGAGGCGGAGUCUUACAGAAGACGACUUGUUGGCAUCAUCAUACCUGUGGUGCUCAUUCUGCUCAUCGUAGCCAUGGCGUCCCUAUGGCAACUGAGACGAAUGAAACUGGCGAAAAGGAAAUCUUGAAAUAUCAUGGAAGAACAACGGAGCAGUUGCCUUCAGUGAUGUCCCACCUCCUCCCAGACCUCUAGACCAGAUCAGAGAGCUUCAGCUUCGGAGAAGUGUAGAGAUAACAGCAGCGUGGAAUCUUACUAACUGAGACAGUAAAUCAAAUCACUGCAGAUAAUCGGAACCAAUUGGGGAGCUCUCUGGUAUUAUCUCCCCAGGACUUUUGAAUAAAAAUUUGCAUUCAGUAGUCAGGACAAAUUUCCUUUAGAAAUGUGUUGUCUACUUUUCCCCUUUUCUGGCUACUCUGUUUUAGCUAGUUUUUUGUUGUACUGCAAACUAAUGUCCCUAUUUGCAAUGUGAGUUUUCUUUCUAUUGGAGUUUUCUACUGUUUUGAUCUAACAUAUUAUUAACAAGUUGAUUGAUAAAAAAUAAUUGAUGUGCAUUUUAUUCUUAGGGUUCGGUGUACCAUUUAUCCUGUUCUGUUAAUAAAUACUUUUUUCAGA